rnacentral:rRNA from 1 species
UACAGAGGGUGCGAGCGUUAAUCGGAAUUACUGGGCGUAAAGCGUGCGCAGGCGGCUUUGCAAGACAGAUGUGAAAUCCCCGGGCUUAACCUGGGAACUGCAUUUGUGACUGCAUGGCUGGAGUGCGGCAGAGGGGGGUGGAAUUCCGCGUGUAGCAGUGAAAUGCGUAGAGAUGCGGAGGAACACCGAUGGCGAAGGCAGCCCCCUGGGCUAGCACUGACGCUCAGCACGAAAGCGUGGGGAGCAAACAGG